AUUGAACGCUGGCGGCAUGCCUUACACAUGCAAGUCGAACGGCAGCACGGGGCAACCUGGUGGCGAGUGGCGAACGGGUGAGUAAUGCAUCGGAACGUACCUUUCAGUGGGGGAUAACGUAGCGAAAGUUACGCUAAUACCGCAUAUUCUGUGAGCAGGAAAGCAGGGGAUCGCAAGACCUUGCGCUGAUUGAGCGGCCGAUGUCAGAUUAGCCAGUUGUGAGGUAAAGGCUCACCAAGGCGACGAUCUGUAGCGGGUCUGAGAGGAUGAUCCGCCAGACUGGAACUGAGACACGGUCCAGACUCCUACGGGAGGCAGCAGUGGGGAAUUUUGGACAAUGGGGGCAACCCUGAUCCAGCCAUGCCGCGUGAGUGAAGAAGGCCUUCGGGUUGUAAAGCUCUUUCGGCCGGGAAGAAAUCGCACGGGCUAAUACCCUGUGUGGAUGACGGUACCGGAAUAAGAAGCACCGGCUAACUACGUGCCAGCAGCCGCGGUAACAC
rnacentral:rRNA from 1 species